rnacentral:rRNA from 1 species
GACGAACGCUGGCGGCGUGCUUAACACAUGCCAGUCGAACGGUGAAGCCCCCGCUCGCUUGUGGAUUUCAGGUGCGAACGGGGGGAUAAGACGUGAACCACCUGCGUGUGACUCCGGCAUCAGCGGUGUAAACGGCGGCUAAUGCUGGAUACUAGCAGGAUGCGCAUGGGCACUUUCUUGAGGGGUUUUCGGUUGGGGAAGGGCUCGCGGCCUAUCAGGUUGUUGGUGAGGUAAUGGCUCACCAAGGCGACGACGGGUAGCCGGCCUGAGAGGGCGACCGGCCACACUGGGACUGAGACACGGCCCAGACUCCUACGGGAGGCAGCAGUGGGGAAUAUUGCACAAUGGGCGAAAGCCUGAUGCAGCGACGCCGCGUGAGGGAUGACGGCCUUCGGGUUGUAAACCUCUUUCAGCAGGGAAGAAGCGAAAGUGACGGUACCUGCAGAAGAAGCACCGGCUAACUACGUG